GCCCCUGUGGCGCAGUGGUCAGCGCGCUCUCGUGCGGCGGGAGAGGACCUCGGUUCGAAUCCGAGCAGAAGCA
rnacentral:tRNA from 1 species